rnacentral:rRNA from 1 species
AAAUUGAAGAGUUUGAUCAUGGCUCAGAUUGAACGCUGGCGGCAGGCCUAACACAUGCAAGUCGAACGGUAACAGGAAGCAGCUUGCUGCUUUGCUGACGAGUGGCGGACGGGUGAGUAAUGUCUGGGAAACUGCCUGAUGGAGGGGGAUAACUACUGGAAACGGUGGCUAAUACCGCAUAACGUCGCAAGACCAAAGAGGGGGACCUUCGGGCCUCUUGCCAUCAGAUGUGCCCAGAUGGGAUUAGCUAGUUGGUGAGGUAACGGCUCACCAAGGCGACGAUCCCUAGCUGGUCUGAGAGGAUGACCAGCCACACUGGAACUGAGACACGGUCCAGACUCCUACGGGAGGCAGCAGUGGGGAAUAUUGCACAAUGGGCGCAAGCCUGAUGCAGCCAUGCCGCGUGUAUGAAGAAGGCCUUCGGGUUGUAAAGUACUUUCAGCGGGGAGGAAGGUGUUGUGGUUAAUAACCGCAGCAAUUGACGUUACCCGCAGAAGAAGCACCGGCUAACUCCGUGCCAGCAGCCGCGGUAAUACGGAGGGUGCAAGCGUUAAUCGGAAUUACUGGGCGUAAAGCGCACGCAGGCGGUCUGUCAAGUCGGAUGUGAAAUCCCCGGGCUCAACCUGGGAACUGCAUUCGAAACUGGCAGGCUUGAGUCUUGUAGAGGGGGGUAGAAUUCCAGGUGUAGCGGUGAAAUGCGUAGAGAUCUGGAGGAAUACCGGUGGCGAAGGCGGCCCCCUGGACAAAGACUGACGCUCAGGUGCGAAAGCGUGGGGAGCAAACAGGAUUAGAUACCCUGGUAGUCCACGCCGUAAACGAUGUCUACUUGGAGGUUGUGCCCUUGAGGCGUGGCUUCCGGAGCUAACGCGUUAAGUAGACCGCCUGGGGAGUACGGCCGCAAGGUUAAAACUCAAAUGAAUUGACGGGGGCCCGCACAAGCGGUGGAGCAUGUGGUUUAAUUCGAUGCAACGCGAAGAACCUUACCUGGUCUUGACAUCCACAGAAGAAUCCAGAGAUGGAUUUGUGCCUUCGGGAACUGUGAGACAGGUGCUGCAUGGCUGUCGUCAGCUCGUGUUGUGAAAUGUUGGGUUAAGUCCCGCAACGAGCGCAACCCUUAUCCUUUGUUGCCAGCGGUCCGGCCGGGAACUCAAAGGAGACUGCCAGUGAUAAACUGGAGGAAGGUGGGGAUGACGUCAAGUCAUCAUGGCCCUUACGACCAGGGCUACACACGUGCUACAAUGGCGCAUACAAAGAGAAGCGACCUCGCGAGAGCAAGCGGACCUCAUAAAGUGCGUCGUAGUCCGGAUUGGAGUCUGCAACUCGACUCCAUGAAGUCGGAAUCGCUAGUAAUCGUGGAUCAGAAUGCCACGGUGAAUACGUUCCCGGGCCUUGUACACACCGCCCGUCACACCAUGGGAGUGGGUUGCAAAAGAAGUAGGUAGCUUAACCUUCGGGAGGGCGCUUACCACUUUGUGAUUCAUGACUGGGGUGAAGUCGUAACAAGGUAACCGUAGGGGAACCUGCGGUUGGAUCACCUCCUUACCUUAAAGAAGC